rnacentral:rRNA from 1 species
GAUGAACGCUGGCGGCGUGCUUAACACAUGCAAGUCGAACGGGAAUUACUUUAUUGAAACUUCGGUCGAUUUAAUUUAAUUCUAGUGGCGGACGGGUGAGUAACGCGUGGGUAACCUGCCUUAUACAGGGGGAUAACAGUCAGAAAUGGCUGCUAAUACCGCAUAAGCGCACAGAGCUGCAUGGCUCGGUGUGAAAAACUCCGGUGGUAUAAGGUGGACCCGCGUUGGAUUAGCUUGUUGGUGGGGUAACGGCCCACCAAGGCGACGAUCCAUAGCCGGCCUGAGAGGGUGAACGGCCACAUUGGGACUGAGACACGGCCCAGACUCCUACGGGAGGCAGCAGUGGGGAAUAUUGCACAAUGGGGGAAACCCUGAUGCAGCGACGCCGCGUGAAGGAAGAAGUAUCUCGGUAUGUAAACUUCUAUCAGCAGGGAAGAUAGUGACGGUACCUGACUAAGAAGCCCCGGCUAACUACGUG